CCUACGGGAGGCAGCAGUAGGGAAUAUUGCUCAAUGGGCGAAACCCUGAAGCAGCAACGCCGCGUGGAGGAUGAAGGUUUUCGGAUUGUAAACUCCUUUUGUUAGAGAAGAUAAUGACGGUAUCUAACGAAUAAGCACCGGCUAACUCCGUGCCAGCAGCCGCGGUCAUACGGAGGGUGCAAGCGUUACUCGGAAUCACUGGGCGUAAAGAGCGCGUAGGCGGGAUAGCAAGUCAGAUGUGAAAUCCUAUGGCUUAACCAUAGAACUGCAUUUGAAAAUGUUAUGCUAGAGUAUGGGAGAGGUAGGUGGAAUUCUUGGUGUAGGGGUAAAAUCCGUAGAGAUCAAGAGGAAUACUCAUUGCGAAGGCGACCUGCUAGAACAUAACUGACGCUGAUGCGCGAAAGCGUGGGGAGCAAACAGGAUUAGAUACCCUAGUAGUC
rnacentral:rRNA from 1 species